rnacentral:lncRNA from 1 species
ACGAGUCGAAGCACACGACCGACUUUUGCCACCCUUACUACACGAAGCAAUGUUGGCGAUACGAAGUACUUCUCAAUAAUAUCGCUGAGAACCAGACCUAAAGGGAAUAUGUAUAUAUUUAUUAGAACAAAUUUAAAAUGUUUUAUAAAUUUACUAUUAAUAGAUAGUAAGAAAGGAUGUGUGCUGUCUAAGACACAUGUUUAUAAUUCCGAGAAGACGAGAUUCAUAAGGCAUAGGAAACACAUAAUAUGGAAACCAGGAUAAAAUAGGAUAGGACAACAAAUAACAUCAAUAUAGUCCAGAACAUCGCUGAAAGUCUGAGUUUGUUGAUAAUGGUCCAACGUCAUUGUAAGCAUGUUCAAUCCGAUGAACAACAUAAUUAUCAUAUCGAACUUUUUGUCUGUCACUAUUUCAAACACUAUUGCUUGCGGCCUCCACUGGAAAAUAAAGGAAAAAGAAUUGAUAUUAAAAUAAAAUUGCAAUUAAAAGAUUUGAGAAAUUAAUAGAACAAUAAUGACAAUAUGUUAAACUGUACGUACCCUUGGACGUGGAAUGGCUUUAAGUGGUUUCUUGCUACCCAUCUUUUUCAUAGCGUUGUAAUAUUUCUUCUGAUCUUCUGUCAUGAACAUCUCGAGGGAACCUCCUGCCUUUUUCUUUUGUUCGUUAAAGUUAUCGAUGAUCACACCAAUGAAUAGAUUAAGGGUAAAAAACGAUCCAAAUAUAAUGAAGAAUACAAAAUAGAAAUACAUGUAGAUGUUCGUUUCACGAAUUGGUUGUUUGUUGAGCUGCAAACAAAAAAAAAAGAAAAAGAAAAUUCACAAAAAUAUGAUGAUUUUUCAAUUGGCAAAUCUUUAAUUUUGACACACACUCACCUCCCUAGAGUCGAUGGCAUCGUUCAUGAUCUGAAUCCAUCCUUUGAACGUAGCCACUUGAAACAAGCAUAAAUAAGCUUUUCCUACGUGGUCAAAAUUCAUUGGAGAAUUUUCCCAGGUGUAGUUCUCAGCCAAACAGGCGUUUCGAUCAGGAAUGAUUUCAUGGCUGAGUGUUGUUUUAUUCGCAUCUACACACUAGAUUAAAAAUAAAGAUAUGAUAUAAUAUAAACACAUACCUUAAAAUAUUUGCCGGCAAAAAGCUGUACACCCAUAAUGGCGAAGAUCAACCAGAAGAUAAGACACACCAGUAACACGUUGAAAAUGGAUGGAAUGGCUUGAACCAAAGCGUUGACGACUACCUGUUAGACAAAGUAUAUUGUUAAAGUAUUUAAAAAAUGCUUCAAUUAUUUUUUUUUUUAUUCUGCCUGUCUAUGUGCUUAAGUAUGCGUUUCUAUGCAUUUCUAGGCGUUUUCUAUAAUCUACGCCUACGUGUAUUACUGGUUCAUCAUAUGUGCAAUUUGAAUUUUGGAAUCUUCUUUUGCGAUAAAAUAAAAAAAUAGUGAAACAUCACGUGAAAGGAAUUAGGAAUGUUGUAUCAUUAUUGUGAAAUUAAGUCAAUUAAGAUCAAGUUGAUGAUAAUUUGA